rnacentral:rRNA from 1 species
GGAUGAGAUGGCCGGAAGUCUGAUCCAGCCAUGCCGCGUGCAGGAUGAAGGCGCUCAGCGUUGUAAACUGCUUUUGGAUGGGAAUAAUAACCUCGACGUGUCGGGGCUUGAAGGUACCAUCAGAAUAAGCACCGGCUAACUCCGUGCCAGCAGCCGCGGUAAUACGGAGGGUGCAAGCGUUAUCCGGAAUCACUGGGUUUAAAGGGUGCGUAGGCGGCGCGAUAAGUCAGUUGUGAAAUUCCCCGGCUCA